AAAGCAGGACUCCAUCUUGGCCCGGACUGUGGACUUUGACCUAUACGCCCUGUAUCUAUGGAAACAACAUACAAACUGGAAAAUCAGACCCCCCCGGAUGGAAGAGCCCCAGGGCUCGUACCUAGACUCUCCGUUGCCUAAAAAAAUACCCUAAUUAUCUGUGUAACCAAAUAGAAUCAUAAAUUCUAUUAUGCCUAUUGGGGUAUGGCCACAGGCCUAUUGAUAAUUUUCCACUGUUAACUACCUAGUGUAAGAUAUAGUUCGGGCCGAGGCAGAAAAGGAGAGACGACCUCAACGGAAGUAGGUUACCUGUAUUCAGGCAAGGAGGGGCGACAGUCGGCCUAACAACCAGACUGAGCACAAGAGGGAUCAGGGAGGCUUCAUAUUUCAAAAGGGAGGUUUGUGGUGCGAUAAGGGAAAUGUUAGUCAGGCAGGAUGUUUUGGGUAUUCUUUAGGUGAAUAAAUCUCUAGUUAGAUGGGAAGAAAAAAGUGUAUCAGUGAGUAUGAAUUGGCCUUUCUGGGAGAAGCCUGGGAUGUGGGGCAUCUAAUUCAUCUGUGUUUUCAUCCUCACCCAAUUAAGCCCACCAGGAUAAGAAAGGCAUCUAAAGCAAAGAGGAGAAGAGGUUGUGGACGCUGUGUUGUUCUGGUUUAAACGAAUAAGGCUGCAAGAAAACAACGCCUGACUCCCCACCCCACCCUCCGCCCCGGGUCUGAGCAGGUAAAGCCCUCCUUGACCCUAUUAGACAAAAGGCAGACUGGCAGUUCAAGUGUUUCAUCGAGUGGAAAUACCAAAAAUACCUGGGAUACCAAGUGCUUCUGGAGCCAAAAAAAAAAAAAAAAAUCAACGAGAAGGUAGGAAAAAUGGGAGGAAGCGGAUCUAAGGCAACUGUACUAGAAAACACGGUCAAAAACUUCGUAAAGGGAUUUGACAGAGACUAUGGGACAAAGAUGACGCCCAGCCGGUUCUGCACUCUCUGUGAGGCCGAAUGUCCCGCAGUGGGAGUUGGUUGGCCACCAAAGGGUACCAUGGACUUAAGUUUAACACAGUCAGUCUAUGCCAUAGUUACAGGAAAAUCUGGGCACCCCGAUCAGUUCCCAUACACUCUUGGCUAGGGAUAGCCCAGGAACCCCCCAGAUGGGCCUGAUUUUAUAUCCAAAAUGGGGAGGGGAAGAUAUUAAUGAUUCAAAAAGUAAACAAAGAUGAAAAGGAGAUCUAAAAGGAUCCAGAGAGGUAAGAACUUCCCCCACCACCCUACUGGAUGAUGGUCCCACCAACCAGCGUUCCUGCGGUGCUGAUAGCCUCCCCACAGGGAAUUGACCAGAAGCUGGUAGGCAUCCCAGAACCUCCACCUUCGCCAGUCCUCCCAACAGCCCCACAGGUUGUAAAGCUGCCAUUCCAGCAAGCUCUGACCUUAGUUGAAGGGGCAACAGGCUACAACCCACCAGAUUCAACCACUGCUGACAUCAUAUGCCCCAAGCUGUAUCCUCCCCUCCCGAUAAGUACUUCCAUAUGAGGGGAGGGAGACGUUGGAAUUAAGCAGAGACUGUGCUCCGCCAGAGAGCUGGAGGGAAAGGCACCACUACCGAUGCUUCUUAGAGAUGUGCAACAACCCCCCCGUGUAAGGGGAGGAUGGUGAUUACCAUCUAGCUCCUGUAGAUUACUACCAGCUUUUCUCAUCAAUUGACAUACUAAAUUGGCAGAAGCAUACCCCCCCUCCCCUUACUCAGAAGAGCCACAAGGUAUGACUAGAUUGAUGGAAACCAUCUUUCACACCCAUUGACCAACAUGGGGUGAUGUCAUGCAAUUAUAGACAUCUCUCUUCAGAACUGAGGCGAGGUACAGGAUUAAUACGGAAGCAAAAAAAUGGUUACAAGAGAUGGUUCCAGAAGGUGUUGCAAACCCAGAAAGGUAUAGAGCAAGCCUUCCCCGCUGAUAAACCUAGCACUGUAACACAGAAGAAGGGAGGAUUCAACUAGACAGAUAUCAGACAGCCAUUACACAAGGGUUGAAGAGGGGAGCCGUAAGCCAAUGGACAUAUCAAAACCUGCUGGGGUAAUUCAGAAGGGGAAUGAAUCACCUUCUGAAUUUUAUGAGAGGCUCUGCGAAGCCUAUAGACUUUAUACACCUAUAGACCCAGAAGCUGCAGGGUCUCAGAUUGUGGUAAACUCGGCAUUCAUUUCACAGGCAUACCCCUAUGUUAAGUGAAAGCUUCAAAAGACAGAAGGGGUGCUGUCCAUGUCCAGCUCCCAGUUAAUUGAAAUAGCAGACAAUGUGUUCCAGAACAGGGACAUAGAAAAGAAAUAUGAAAAGAGAUACAAAGAGGAACAAAAGAGAACAGACCAGAGAUUUGCAAUGCUAGCUGCUGCUCUGGGAAAGUCUAUCUCGGGCCCUCCGGAAAAACCUCCUCCUGCCCCAGGGACAAGACAGUACUUCAGCCGGUACCAGUGGAGGCCCUGGGCCCCAUUACAGCCAAACCAGUGUGCCUGGUGCUGAGGUUUUGGCCAUUGGAAGAAUGAAUUCCCUAAGACAAGGAGGGAAGAGAAAGCUCCCGCGGUUGUGGGACUUGCUGACUUGGAAAUUAAAUAGGGCUGCCAGGGCUGAGAGAUACCAGGUCCCCGAGAGCCUGUGGUAACCUUAAAAGUGGGGGAUGAAAACAUUGACUUUAUGGUGGAUACAGGAGCAGAACUGUUGGUAGUAACAAAACCUGUGGCACCAUUAUCCAAAAAGACUACUGCUGUAACUGGGGUAUCAGGAGAAGAGAUGAUUAAAUCAUUUUGCCAGCCCAGAAAAUGCCAGAUGGGGGGACACCAAGUGAUUGAUGAAUUCCUCUACAUUCCUGAGUGCCCAGUACCCCUGUUGGGAAGAGACUUGCUCUCCAAACUAGGAGCACAAGUGAUUUUGUACCCUGAGGAGAGGCCCACCUACUGGGUGGGCACUAUGAUUUAUUGCGCUCUCUCUCUCAAUACCCCACCAAGAUGCAUGGAGGUUGCAUGAGCCUUUGAAGGAAAAACCAGGUGGGCCGCAAGAAUUUGAGAGAGAACUAACUCAAUUAUUCCCUGAGGUCUGGGCGGAAGACAACCCCCCUAGGCUGGCUGGCUAAACAUCAAACUCCAGUGAUAAUAGAACUCAAGCCAGGCACCAUCCUGGUUAGAAUGCGCCAGUACCCACUACCGAUAGAGGCCUGGGUCAGCAUACUACCCCACAUCAAUAGAUUGAAACAAGUGGGUGGGCGCUCUAGUAGAGUGCCAGUCGGCUUGGAAUAUGCCAACCCUGCCAGUCAAAAAAGGAGGACAGGGCUAUAGGCCUGUACAAGAUCUCAGGCUAGUCAACCAGGCCACUGUGACUUUAUAGCCCCCACUGUUCCAAACCCCUAUACCUUACUUAGCCUCCUCUCACUGAGGACUAAAGUUUAUACUCGCCUAGAUCUCAAGGAUGCCUUCUUCUGCGUACACCUCGCCUCAGCGUCACAGCCCAUCUUUGCCUUGGAAUGGGAAGAUCCAGUCGGGGGCACCAAACAACAGCUCACCUGGACUCCCCCAUGAGGGUUUAAGAACUCCCCAGACACCUUUGGGGAAGCCUUGGCUUCUGACCUGGACUCAUUCCAGCUGGAAGAAUAUGGAUGUUGGCUCCUACAAUACGUGGAUGACCUGCUACUGGCUGCCGAGACCAAGGAAAAAUGCUGGGAAGGGACAAAAGCACUGCUUCAACUGCUGAUGGAAGCAGGUUGCCAGGUGUCGAAGAAUAAGGCACAGAUCUGCAAGGAGGAGGUAAGGUAUCUGGGGUUUGUUUUAAAGAAGGGUACAAGGUUAUUAGACCAGUCCAGGAAAGAGGUGAUCCUGAGAAUCCCAACACCUAAGACUCACUGGCAGGUCCGGGAAUUUUUGGGAGCUGCUGGGUUUUGCAGAAUCUGGAUUCCAGGAUAUUCCCAAAUGGCCCAGCCUUUAUAUGAACUCCUGACAAGGCCUGAGGAGAAACCACUAAAUUGGACUGAAAAACAACAAAAAGCCUUUGAUGAGCUAAGGUUGGCAAUUAUAUCAGCCCCCGCUUUAGGGCUGCCAGACCUUGCCAAGCCAUUUACUCUAUAUGUAACUGAAAAAGACAAAAUAGCAAUGGGAGUGUUAACUCAGACUGUGAGAAUGUGGGACAGGCCUGUAGCCUAUCUCUCAAGGUGGCUUGACAAUGUCGCUACUGGGUGGCCCAGAUGCUUGCAAGCAAUUGCCGCAGUUGCCCUACUAGUACAAGAAGCUACUAAAUUGACUUUAGGCCAAGAUCUGGUUGUAAGAGUCCCACAUGAGGCCAACACACUCUUAUGAGGAGAUUCCCCACAAAUGGCCAUCAAACUCCCGGAUUAUUCAGUAUCAGGGCUGUUACGUGAAAACCCUAACCUCCGUAUUGAGCCUUGCCAGACUUUAAUCCCAGCCACACUCCUUCCAGUGGGAAAGGGUGGACCUUCUCAUGACUGUGGGGAAGUCUUAGAAGAGGUCUACGCUAGCAGACCCGACCUCCAAGACCAACCGAUUCUGUACCCUGAUUGGGUCCUAUAUACUGAUGUCACUAGCCUGAUAAAACAAGGACAAUGGCUGUCGGGUUACACCAUAGGCACAGAAAAGACUAUCAUUGAAGCUGGUUCCUUGCCACAACACUGGUCUGCUCAAUGAGCUGAGUUAUGGGCCUUGAUUCGCGCACUCCAGCUGUCAAAAGGCAAGACAGUAAACAUCUUCACCGAUUCCAGGUAUGCUUUUGCCACACUACAUGUACAUGGGGCUCUGUAUAAGGAGAGAGGCCUUUUGACAGCUAGUGGAAAAGAUAUCAAAAAUAAGGAAGAAAUUCUGACCCUAUUAGAUGUUGUAUGGGAACCAGAAAGGGUUACAGUCAUACACUGCCGAGGACAUCAAAAAGAGGAUACCCUCUGGCUUGGGGAAACAGACUGGCAGAUAAGACCGCUAAACAAGCAGCCGAGGGCAUGGGGGUGACAAGUGAGGCCCCUAUUAAAACUUUCAUAUUGGCGGAGCUGCCUAAGCUAAUGCUGGACUCUUCAAAAUACACUGAAUCCCAAAACCAACUAGCCAAAGCAGAAGGGGCUAUCAAGACUGAAAAGGGAUGGUGGGAAUUGCCAAGUGGCAAAUUAUUGGUACCAGAGGAGCUGGCACCCACUCUAGUAAGCCAAACACACCAAGUGACCCACCUAGGCCAUGAUAAACUGGAAGAGCUAAUUUGAAAAUAUUUCUUGGUUCCCCGCCUCUCUCCCCUAUGCAGAACAGAAUCUCAAAACUGCACUGCCUGCUCACAGGUCAGUGUUGCCUCUCGGCACAGACAGAAACCUCCAGGUAUUUACUUAAAAGGCAGGCUGCCCUUUGAACACCUGGAAGUGGACUUCACUAAAAUGAAACCUCACCGACACUACUGUUACCUGCUGGUCAUGUUAAAGUUGCAGGUAUUGCCCCUUGGAUCCAUCAUACGAGGGUGAAGAGAGCAUACCACACAGACCCAGAAAACUCUGAGUGGACUACAUAGAGGGACCCCACUGACCCUCGAGAGACUAAGAUCAUCCUUAAGAAGAAGAAAGAAGAGAAGAUCCCAGAUGAGCCCCUUCAGGAUGAAGCCACAUAAUUAACUCCUGCCGCUUGGUCUCAUCAACAUGAUUUUGAAUUUAACUUCCAUUUCAACUCAGGACAAUGUUUUCAUCUCAUGAACACAUUCCUACAUGGACUUCCACAACACCUACAACUGCUGGGUAUGUGGGGCUAUGCCUCUGUCUGUGAUGGAUGGACUUCCUUGGUGGGUGUCACCACUCUGCCAAGGAGAUUUUAAACCACUCUGCUCUUUUCUGGGACGACAGAAAGAGACUUUCCUUUCUCUUGUCUAUCAUAAUCUCUCCCUGCUCUCUUGGUGUAAGCCAGACCUACAGUCAAUAGACUCAGGUCAUGGGGUUAAUUUGAUGUAAACACCAGUUUCAUAAAAGUAACAAAAGCCUAUACCUUAUAUUUAAAGAAAGGAAAAAAAAAAAACCUCCCUGACCAGCAAGGGAGGACAGGCCUCUAGGUAUGUUGAACAAUUCUUCCAAGUUUGGGAUGAAUAUUUCUGGAUGACCCCAGAAAAGGGUCAAUUAAUUACUCCUGCCGCUAUAUGCUGGGAACAAAAAGAACAAAGGAUAGGGUUUGGUGACUGUCCCUUAGACCUGAAAGAGCUAAAAUAUAUGGGGUACCUAUGCCCCAAACAAUGUAAACGAAUAUUUGAGGUCACAUACCACCCCAACCAGUCCAUCCACUGGCCAGGCUCUGAUUGGAAAUAUAACCCUGGAAUCCACUGGGUGGCACCCAAUGGAACCCAAUGGCUUUGGGAGCCUAACCUUUGGCCUUGGUUACCAGUUGGCUGGGUAGGUCACUGCACAGUGGGAUUCGCUUUUGCCCAUGGCAGCAUAAAGCCUAACCUACAGCAAGCCCUGGUAAAUCUACCUUAUUUACAUGCUAGGUGGACAAGGUGUGUAUUUCAGUGGUGUGAGUAUAUUGCUGCCUUAUUUGUGCCUUCCAUAGGGACAACAGAUAUGAUUAAAGUAGAGGCCUUGACUAAUUUCACAAAACAGGCCCUCCGAGAUAGUGCUAAAGCCAUCCAAGCCUUAAAUGAAGAACAAAUCCAAAUGAGAAAAGUGGUAAUUCAAAAAUGGCUUUGGACAUGCUCACAGCCGCUCAGGGAAGGACCUGUGCUAUAAUUAAGGUUGAAUGUUGUGUAUAUAUUCCUGAUUUAUCUGGCAGUGUAUCGGCUGCUUUAGAUGACAUGAAAAACCGGGUAAAAGCAAUGUCAGAUGAAAACAUUCAUUUCUGGACUUUGCUUCUAUCUCGGGUGAAGGGUGAUUGGUGGAAAACUAUAUUUACCAUUGUUAUAGUUGCCUUGAUAGUUCUGCUUUUUGGACCCUUCAUUUUACAAUGUAUUAUGAACUUUGUAACCCAAAGGUUGGUGUCAUUCUCUCAAAUUGGUGGUCAGAGAACCAGGGUGCAAUAUAUCCCUAUGAGUGAUGCUCAUACUAUGAGUUAAGAGCAUCAAGAGAGGGGGAUGGGGGAGGAAACAGACAGAACACGUUCCAUCUUGAAAGUGGGACUCCAUCUUGGGCCAGACUGUGGACUUUGACCUAUGUGCCCUGUAUCUAUGGAAACGACACACAAACUGGAAAACCAGUCCCCCUGGAUGGAAGAGCCCCAGAGCUCGUACCUAGACUCUCCGUGGCCUAAAAAAAUACCCUAAUUAUCUGUGUAACCAAAUAGAAUCAUAAAUUCUAUUAUGCUUACUGGGGUAUGACCGCAAGCCUAUUGAUAAUUGUCCACCGUUAACUACCUAGGCUUAAGGCAUACAAAUCAUGGGUUUAAGGCGUACACAUCAUGUGUUAACUUUGAUUGUAUCUUUCUUUUCCUUAGUUCAGACUAGUUUCAGAGAGUUUGGGGAGGUAGGUUUUAGCACAUACACCUAGGGUAUAUAAGGUUUUCACAAAAACUGGUCGGGGUCCUUGGCUAAGAGGAGACUCUGCCUUGGGCCCGCCAGUGUAAUAAACUGCACUCCACC